UGCAUGUCUCAGUACUUGCUUUAACAAGGCGAAACCGCGAAUGGCUCAUUAAAUCAGUUAUGGUUCACUAGAUCGUAAAUCCUACACGGAUAACUGUGGUAAUUCUAGAGCUAAUACGUGCAAACGGCUCGUUCCCUUGUGGAGCGAGCGCAGUUAUUAGAACAAAACCAAUCCGGCCUUCGGGUCGGUUAAAAUGGUGACUCUGAAUAACCGAAGCGGAGCGUAUGGUCUCGUACCGACGCCAGAUCUUUCAAGUGACUGCUCUAUCAGCUUGUUGCUAGGUUAUGCUCCUAGCAAGGCUUCAACGGGUAACGGGGUAUCAGGGUCCGAUACCGGAGAGGGAGCCUGAGAAACGGCUACCACAUCCAAGGAAGGCAGCAGGCGCGCAAAUUACCCACUCCCAGCACGGGGAGGUAGUGACGAAAAAUAACGAUGCGAGGGCAUAUUGCUUCUCGUAAUCGGAAUGGGUACACUUUAAAUCCUUUAACGAGGAUCUAUUGGAGGGCAAGUCUGGUGCCAGCAGCCGCGGUAAUUCCAGCUCCAAUAGCGUAUAUUAAAGUUGCUGCGGUUAAAAAGCUCGUAGUUGGAUCUGGGCAGCUGGAUGUGCGGUGCGCUUUACAGCGUUACUGCUCGUUUGGCGCCACAAGCCGGCCAUGUCUUGCAUGCUCUUCACUGGGUGUGCUUGGCGACCGGAACGUUUACUUUGAAAAAAUUAGAGUGCUCAAAGCAGGCGUAUGGCCUUGCAUAAUGGUGCAUGGAAUAAUGGAAUAGGACCUCGGUUCUAUUUUGUUGGUUAUCGGAGCUCGAGGUAAUGAUUAAGAGGAACAGACGGGGGCAUUCGUAUUGCGGCGUUAGAGGUGAAAUUCUUGGAUCG
rnacentral:rRNA from 1 species